AGGGUUUUUAGGGUUUGUUAAGGUUUUCGAGGAUUUUUUUAGGGUUUUCUAGGGGUUUUUAGGAUUUUCUAGUUUUUUUAGGGAUUUUUGGGUUUUCUAUGGUUUUUUUAUGGUUUUUAAAUUUUUUAGGGUUUUUUAGAGUUUCCUAGGGUUUUUAGAGAUUUUUUAUUGUUUUCUAGAAUUUUUUAUGGUUUUUUAGGAUUUUUAACGGUUUUCUACGCUUUUUCUUAUUUUUUAGGGGUUUCUAGGGUUUUUAGGGUUUUUAGGAGUUUUUUGAGUUUUCUAGUGUUUUUUAGGGUUUUUACUGUUUUUUAGGGUUUUCUAGGAUUGUCUAGGGUUUUUACUGUUUUUUUAGGGUUUUUAUGGUUUUCUAGGGUUUUUUAGG